rnacentral:lncRNA from 1 species
GUCAUCUUCUCACCGGAUUUUCAACAUUGAAUCAAGAUCAAAAUCCGCCUAUAUAUCUUGAAAUCCGACCAUAAAUCUUGAAGGUAUGUUGUUUUACUCUGUUGUUUAUGUAGUAUACAUCUUUAAUCUAAGAGAUUGAACAUGUUUAUUUUUUUCUUAAACCAAAAUCUACAUCAGAUGUUUUUUGUUGAUUUUUGUUAUGUAUAAAAUCAAGUUUCCGGGUUUUUCUUAAUCAUCUAUUCCACAUUUAUCGCAGUUAAUGAUUUUGGUUGUUGUAUUUUUUCAUGUGAUUCCUUACAUCCGUUAUAACUAUCUGAAUCCCACCAUUCGUCAAGCAACAGAGGUUAGUUUAUCAUAUUUUUUUAUAUAUAUAUAGUGUGUUUUAUUCUUAUUAAAUUAUCAAUGUUUUGAAGUUUAUAUUCUUUGAUUUUUCAGUUAUCAUUUGUUCAAUGUAGCUUUAAAGAAACAUUUAAUUUCUUUUUAAAAUUUAUGUUUUUCCUAUAAAUAGACUACUGUUUUUAAGGUUAAUUUUUGAAAUUUGAAUUAUAAGUCUGUUUCUUUAAUUAGACAUUGUUUCUAUAAAUAGGUUAUGGUUAUAUUUAUUUAAAAAAAAAUUUACUUCCUUUGCAGUUAUAGAUAUUUAUUUCUGAACCGAGUCUGUCCUCCAUAGUUUUUUCUGAUGUGAGUAUUUCUGAUUCGAUAUUUUGUUCGAAUUAUGAUAGUUACUUAUGUAUUUUUUUCAAUACGAAUGUUAGUUUUAUAUAUUUUUAUUAAAAAUACAACAAUUGAAUAUAUAUCUUACACACGAUAAAACAUAACAGUCAAAUUACCAAAUAAGUUGAUAUUUGAAUUUUUUGAAUUUGUAUGUUGACUUAUUUCUAGAUGUAUAUCUUAUAUUUUUAUUAACUUAUUAUUAAUUUUAGGAAACUUAUAAAUAUUUAUAAUAAUUAACAAAACAAUGAUAAUUUAUUUAUGUUAAAUUAUUUGGUCGAUUUUGUCUAUUCGUAAUUUCUAAAGUUUUGUAAAGUAAUAUUUCCAUUUAUAAUGCAAUAACAUAUCAAAGUUAUUUUAGAUAAAUUUGUUUCUUUAUUAAUUGACAAUCAUAUUUAAGUAAAAUGGAAACUACAAUAGAAUGACAAAUAAUAUGAUGUAGAUAAUUUAUUUUUUUAUCAAAAUAUAUAUAAUAUUUGUUUUGUUAUAUGGUAUUACACUUUUAAUUAAUUAUUUAACGAUCAUUUGUUGAGUACUAAUAAAAAAAUCCUUAUUUUUAUUGUCACAGUUUUCUAUUUGAAAUUGAGGUUUUGUUUUGAUCAAAGUUGGGUUAUGCAGUUUUCUAUUUGAAAUUGAGGUUUUGUUUUGAUCAAAGUUGGGUUAUGCAGGUAAGUGUUCAAUCUCAUGUUAAUUUGAUAACGCCUCAAUCUUAAACUUCAAGAUCUCGAGUAAAUGUGAUGUUUAUUUAUGUUACUUAAUAACAGGUAAAUGGGGGAUAUCUACAAAUUUUGAUGGUACACGACUUUUCGUUAACGACAAUUUUGAUCAGAUGCUGACAUUCAAGGAAAAGUGAGCAAAAGUUAUUAUUUUAAUUUUUUCUAAUUGUAUCAACUAAAUUUUUAUUUAUAUUUUGUUGUUCAUUUUAGAUUAUGGUUUCAUUUAUAUUUUAACUACU